CUCGAAAGGGUGAGGAACACGUGGGCAAUCUACCUCUAAGUUGGGGACAACCUCGGGAAACUGGGGCUAAUACCGGAUGUGGUUAUCUGUCGCAUGGCAGAAUAAUUAAAGGUGGGGACUUCGAUUUAUCGAGGCCUGCCGCUUGGAGAGGAGCCCGCGUCCCAUCAGCUUGUUGGUAAGGUAACGGCUUACCAAGGCUUACGGGUAGCUGGUCUGAGAAGAUGGUCAGCCACACUGGGACUGAGACACUGCCCAGACUCCUACGGGAGGCUGCAGUCGAGAAUCAUUCGCAAUGCGCGAAAGCGUGACGAUGCGACGCUGCGUGGAGGAUGACGGCCUUAGGGUUGUAAACUCCUGUCAUUCGGGAAAAACUAUCUGGGAGGUAAUACCCCCUGGAUUUGAUGGUACCGAAAGAGGAAGCCACGGCUAACUCUGUGCCAGCAGCCGCGGUAAUACAGAGGUGGCUAGCGUUGUUCGGAUUUACUGGGCGUAAAGGGUGCGUAGGUGGUAAUGUAUGUCGGGUGUGAAAUCCCACGGCUCAACCGUGGAACUGCACUCGAAACUGCAUAACUUGAGUGUAGGAGGGGAGAGCGGAAUUCUUGGUGUAGCGGUGAAAUGCGUUGAUAUCAAGAAGAACACCGGCGGCGAAGGCGGCUCUCUGGAAUACUACUGACACUGAGGCACGAAAGCUGGGGGAGCGAACAGGAUUAGAUACCCUGGUAGUCCCAGCCGUAAACGGUGCACACUUGGUGUGGAGGGAAUUGACCCCCUCCGUGCCGGAGCUAACGCGUUAAGUGUGCCGCCUGGGGAGUACGGCCGCAAGGCUAAAACUCAAAGAAAUUGACGGGGGCCCGCACAAGCGGAGGAGCAUGUGGCUUAAUUCGAUGCAACGCGAAGAACCUUACCAGGGCUUGACAUAUACCUGCACGCCCCGUGAAAGCGGGGAAGCCUUCGAGGGUGGUAUACAGGUGCUGCAUGGCUGUCGUCAGUUCGUGCCGUGAGGUGUUGGGUUAAGUCCCGCAACGAACGCAACCCUUGUGUUUAGUUGCCACUCCUGGUGUUAAGCAAGGAAGCACUCUAAACAGACUGCCCGUGCAAGCGGGAGGAAGGUGGGGAUGACGUCAAGUCAGUAUGGCCCUUACGCCCUGGGCUGCACACGUGCUACAAUGACAGGUACAAUGGGAUGCUAAGUCGCGAGGCGGAGCAAAUCCUCAAAACCUGCCUCAGUUCGGAUUGGAGUCUGCAACUCGACUCCAUGAAGUUGGAUUCGCUAGUAAUGCCGUAUCAGCUACGACGGCGUGAAUACGUUCCCGGGCCUUGUACACACCGCCCGUCACAUCAUGAAAGCCGUCUGCACCCGAAGUCGCUGAGCCAAUCCCUCACGGGAAGGCAGGUGCCGAAGGUGUGGGUGGUGAUUGGGAUGAAGUCGUAACAAGGUA
rnacentral:rRNA from 1 species